UAGGGAAUCUUCCGCAAUGGACGCAAGUCUGACGGAGCAACGCCGCGUGAGUGAAGAAGGAUUUCGGUUCGUAAAACUCUGUUGUUAGAGAAGAACAGCGCAUAGAGUAACUGUUAUGCGUGUGACGGUAUCUAACCAGAAAGCCACGGCUAACUACGUGCCAGCAGCCGCGGUAAUACGUAGGUGGCAAGCGUUGUCCGGAUUUAUUGGGCGUAAAGCGAGCGCAGGCGGUCAAUUAAGUCUGAUGUGAAAGCCCCCGGCUAAACCGGGGAGGGUCAUUGGAAACGGGUUGACUUGAGUGCAGAAGGGGAGAGUGAAAUUCCAUGUGUAACGGUGAAAUGCGUAGAUAUAUGGAGGAACCCCAGUGGAGAAGGCGACUCUCUGGUCUGUAACUGACGCUGAGGCUCGAAAGCGUGGGUAGCAAACAGG
rnacentral:rRNA from 1 species